GCCGGUUGGAGAAAGCAGCAGUUUGCAAUGUAACAGAACAGCUUCCAAUGGAGGUCCUUCAGGAUCACAACAUUGAGGAAGAUAGAUUGGAUGACCAUCAGGAGGACAAGUCACUGAAGGCAGAGGAACAUUCUCCAUGUCACGAGAAGUGUGCCAAGAAGUCAGCCCUAGAAGAGCUGUUUGAGGAUGAGGACCGAGAGUUACUUCAGGCA